GAUGAACGCUGGCGGCGUGCCUAAUACAUGCAAGUCGAGCGAUCAGACGAGGAGCUUGCUCCUCUGACGUUAGCGGCGGACGGGUGAGUAACACGUGGAUAACCUACCUAUAAGACUGGGAUAACUUCGGGAAACCGGAGCUAAUACCGGAUAAUAUAUUGAACCGCAUGGUUCAAUAGUGAAAGACGGUUUUGCUGUCACUUAUAGAUGGAUCCGCGCCGCAUUAGCUAGUUGGUAAGGUAACGGCUUACCAAGGCAACGAUGCGUAGCCGACCUGAGAGGGUGAUCGGCCACACUGGAACUGAGACACGGUCCAGACUCCUACGGGAGGCAGCAGUAGGGAAUCUUCCGCAAUGGGCGAAAGCCUGACGGAGCAACGCCGCGUGAGUGAUGAAGGUCUUCGGAUCGUAAAACUCUGUUAUUAGGGAUGAACAAAUGUGUAAGUAACUAUGCACGUCUUGACGGUACCUAAUCAGAAAGCCACGGCUAACUACGUG
rnacentral:rRNA from 1 species